rfam:Populus trichocarpa scaffold_11_contig_549, whole genome shotgun sequence.
UCUAGAACUUGAGAUAUGGGCUGAACACUGAACAGUGUCUAGGCUGCAGGACAGAUUCCAACUUCUCUUUUGUUGUUACAAUUUGAACUUGACAACGACCGUUUUGAAUCUUGGACUCCACAUGAAAGUUUGAGGCAUAUUUCUUAGCUUUCCAUC